rnacentral:rRNA from 1 species
GCGUAAUAGCUCACUAGUCGAGUCGGCCUGCGCGGAAGAUGUAACGGGGCUAAGCAAUACACCGAAGCUGCGGCAAUAUCUUUUAGAUAUUGGGUAGGGGAGCGUUCUGUAAGCCGUUGAAGGUGAAUCGUAAGGUUUGCUGGAGGUAUCAGAAGUGCGAAUGCUGACAUGAGUAACGACAAAGGGGGUGAAAAACCUCCUCG